AAUAACCUUAUUUUUCGUUUUUUCGUGUUUAACGUUUGACCAUUCGUCUUAUUUAAAAAUUUUUACGAUUAAUAUUUUUAUUGUUACUACAUGAUAAAAUAUGAAUAAUAUUUUAUACGUGACUAAUUUUUUAAAAUUUUUAUAUAAAUUUUUUAAAUAAGAUGAAUAGUCAAAUGUUAGACAUAGAAAAACGG
rfam:Oryza brachyantha chromosome 6, whole genome shotgun sequence.